CCUGGCAGUCCAGUGGUUAGGACUCCACACUGUCACUGCUGAGGGCCAGGGUUCAAUCCCUGAUCCAGGA
rnacentral:tRNA from 1 species